rnacentral:rRNA from 1 species
AUACGGAGGGUGCGAGCGUUAAUGGGAAUUACUGGGCGUAAAGCGUACGUAGGCGGUUGGUUAAGUUAGAUGUGAAAGCCCCGGGCUUAACCUGGGAACUGCAUUUAAAACUGGCGAACUAGAGUUGAGUAGAGGGGAGUGGAAUUUCAGGUGUAGCGGUGAAAUGCGUAGAGAUCUGAAGGAACACCAGUGGCGAAGGCGACUCCCUGGACUCGAACUGACGCUGAGGUACGAAAGCGUGGGUAGCAAACGGGAUUAGAAACCCUGGUAGUCC